GAUGAACGCUGGCGGUAUGCCUAACACAUGCAAGUCGAACGAAUCUUUCGGGAUUAGUGGCGGACGGGUGAGUAACGCGUGAGAAUCUGCCUCGAGGAUGGGGACAACAGUUGGAAACGACUGCUAAUACCCAAUAUGCCUAACGGUGAAAUUUUUUAGCCUUGAGAGGAGCUCGCGUCCGAUUAGUUAGUUGGUGGGGUAAAAGCCUACCAAGGCAGCGAUCGGUAGCUGGUCUGAGAGGAUGAGCAGCCACACUGGGACUGAGACACGGCCCAGACUCCUACGGGAGGCAGCAGUGGGGAAUUUUCCGCAAUGGGCGAAAGCCUGACGGAGCAAUACCGCGUGAGGGAGGAAGGUUUUUGGAUUGUAAACCUCUUUUUUAAAGGAAGAAGAAAAUGACGGUACUUUAAGAAUAAGCAUCGGCUAACUCCGUGCCAGCAGCCGCGGUAAUACGGAGGAUGCAAGCGUUAUCCGGAAUCAUUGGGCGUAAAGCGUCCGCAGGUGGCUACUCAAGUCUGCUGUUAAAGACAGAAGCUCAACUUCUGAACAGCAGUGGAAACUGGAUAGCUAGAGUAUGGUAGGGGUUGAGGGAAUUCCCAGUGUAGCGGUGAAAUGCGUAGAUAUUGGGAAGAACACCAGUGGCGAAGGCGCUCAACUGGGCCAUAACUGACACUCAGGGACGAAAGCUAGGGUAGCGAAAGGGAUUAGAUACCCCUGUAGUCCUAGCUGUAAACGAUGAACACUAGGCGUUGCUUGUAUC
rnacentral:rRNA from 1 species